rnacentral:rRNA from 1 species
UGGGGAAUAUUGCGCAAUGGGCGAAAGCCUGACGCAGCCACGCCGCGUGAGCGAUGAAGGCCUUCGGGUUGUAAACUGCUUUUGUACGGAACGAAAAGGCUCUGGUUAAUACCUGGGGCUCAUGACGGUACCGUAAGAAUAAGCACCGGCUAACUACGUGCCAGCAGCCGCGGUAAUACGUAGGGUGCAAGCGUUAAUCGGAAUUACUGGGCGUAAAGCGUGCGCAGGCGGUUAUGUAAGACAGAUGUGAAAUCCCCGGGCUCAACCUGGGACCUGCAUUUGUGACUGCAUCGCUGGAGUGCGGCAGAGGGGGAUGGAAUUCCGCGUGUAGCAGUGAAAUGCGUAGAUAUGCGGAGGAACACCGAUGGCGAAGGCAAUCCCCUGGGCCUGCACUGGCGCUCAUGCACGAAAGCGUGGGGAGCAAACA